GAGAACCAAGAGAUCCAUUGUUGAAAGUUUUGAAGUUGUUUUCUACUAAAAGAAAUCUUGUGUUGACUGAAUUAUUUUAAAAAAAUAUUUGUUUGUGUUUGCAUCCACUGGGAGAACUCCCUCCCGAAAGAGAGCUUUCCCCCAACGAACAAAAGAAUAGUAGUAAAGUAAACUCCACUGUGUGUAGUAAUUAGAAAGUGUCGAGUCGUGUGAUAAAACACCUCCUUUGGAAUAGAGAGAUCCACGCACACUCCCAGGUCUUUGUCGGCUCCCUCCCCCCACUGCARAACACCCACCAACCGCGCACUUAAGCGCAGGCAGGAGAAAUAGCAUUCACAGCAGAGAAAAUAUUUUAGGAGCCUCCUGAGUGUCUACACUGGUCCUCCCCAGAGAUGUCUCUCUCCGAGCUCAGACAAAUCAAUUAAAUUUCUUUAAUGAUCCUU
rnacentral:misc_RNA from 1 species